rnacentral:lncRNA from 1 species
CUGUAAGAAGCAUAUUAUAGGUGUAUCAGUACUCAAGUUGCAAAAGUUAAUUCCACUUUUUUGCUUCCUUUAAUUUAUAUCUGAGGUCAUCUUAUGUGUAUUUUUAUUGGGUCUUCUGUUGCAUACAAAUGUCCUGACCUGUAAAACCGGGAGCAUAUCUGCUGUACCACAGAGUAUGCCACUCCAUGUGGCACUGAUUGUGAUUGGUUGUAAAAAAUGCAUGUAAGUUAAAAAAUAAUGAUGAAGUAUUUUUUUGACCAAUCAUAAAUAAUGACAUAUGGAGUGGUACACUUCUAUGGGAUAGCAGAUGUUCACCCAUAAAACCGAGGGUUGUUGUGGCAAUUCAGGCCAAAUGGUUUUUGAGCUAUUGUUUGGCAAUAAACCGCUGAAUCAUUUGAGCUUUGAUUAACAUAUUUUUUUAUGGGAUUCAUUGAAUAACAUAAUUUAUUUCAUUGCAGAUUCAUGAAUCAUGAUUGUCAAUCCUUCAUUACAUGCUUGAAAUUGUUUGUGGAUAAUGUUAUGUUUUAUACACAUUUACGCAUACAUCAUUUCACGUAUGCAUAAUAUCAUUUUAUCAACAAUUAUGCAUACAAAAUUUGUUCUUAUAUAAGAUUGUGUCCUAUACUUAUGUAGCAAACUUUCCAUAAUUAUGUGGUAAAGUUUUAAUAUUCUUAAAUCAUUCACCUUUAACUAGAAUUAGAGUGUCUCUUACUAAAUUUAUAGUUCACAUGUUCUCUCUUUACUAAAAUAAAAGUCAUGUGCUUUGAAAGAUCUCCAUAUCUUUGAUUUCACAUAUCAACUCCCUACUUAUAACAUUAUUCUACAUAGACACAUUCUAAACUAAGAUAAAAAGUAUUUCUAUAGUAGUUGUAAGAAAGCCUUAUUUGGGUAUGGUUUCUUUUUUCACAUUAUUUUUUGGUCUAUUAUACACGCUCUUAAUUCCUUUAAUAUAGGUAAUAAAAAAAGUAAAAGUUUUCCAUGUGAGAAGGGGACAGUAGGGCUUAUAUUUAAGGAGACGCAAUCACAGUCACAAGCUCUCACUCCCACACUUAUGGAAGCACAUCUGUUGUCUCACAAGUUGUGUCAUUACAUGUGUCACUAACUAUUUCGAGACCAGAUUCUGUCAGUAGUGAUCCAGUGGCUUCAGAAACUGGUGGCUUGAGUGGGAAGCCUCUCUUCAAUCUCUCUACCAAUAUCUUGAAGGAUAUGUAUAUCUUGACAAGGGUAUGUUUGUUGGUUAAAAUAUUGUGAUUUGUAAACAUUAUUGUGAUAAGAGCUUUUCUAGUGUAUCCCACCUUUAUAUCUGGAUUGUGAAAGAGAUACUGUAUCCUAGGUUGCUAUUGUAUCACUUAUAAGCACCAUAUUAAGAUGCCAUAUAAAUAAAAUACUUAGAGCUCAUGUUUUCUGCUGUCUAGUUUACCUUGUCUUAAGCUGCUGUUUCUUUUCUGUGGUUUGCUUAUAUCAGGGCAGGAUCCCUUUGAUUGGCUGUGGGGGCAUUAGCAGGUAAAAAUACCCAUUAUUCUGUCACUUCUUCACCAGUUUAGUUGAUUUAUAGCUAUACAUCUUUUAGUUUUCUUUUUAUGAUUUAAGACAAAAUUAAAUCACACAGCCAUUUCUCUCUGCCUUGCAUAUCAAUUUAGUGGAGAGGAUGCAUACAAGAAAAUACGAGCCGGUGCAACUCUUGUUCAGCUCUACACUGCAUUCGCUUAUGGGGGACCUGCACUUAUUCCUCAGAUAAAGGUAUUACUAAUCUUGCACAUGUUAAAGAUUAUGGUUGAUGACUUAACUUUGUUUUUUGUAUGCACCAAAAUUCUCAUUCGUAUUAAAUUGGUUUUAGGCUGAAUUAGCUGAGUGCUUGGAAAGAGAUGGUUUCAAAUCCAUUAUUGAUGCAGUUGGUGCUGAUUACAGAUGACUUUUAUCAACAUAUGAAUACUAUGCUGUAAGAAGCAUAUUAUAGGUGUAUCAGUACUCAAGUUGCAAAAGUUAAUUCCACUUUUUUGCUUCCUUUAAUUUAUAUCUGAGGUCAUCUUAUGUGUAUUUUUAUUGGGUCUUCUGUUGCAUACAAAUGUCCUGACCUGUAAAACCGGGAGCAUAUCUGCUGUACCACAGAGUAUGCCACUCCAUGUGGCACUGAUUGUGAUUGGUUGUAAAAAAUGCAUGUAAGUUAAAAAAUAAUGAUGAAGUAUUUUUUUGACCAAUCAUAAAUAAUGACAUAUGGAGUGGUACACUUCUAUGGGAUAGCAGAUGUUCACCCAUAAAACCGAGGGUUGUUGUGGCAAUUCAGGCCAAAUGGUUUUUGAGCUAUUGUUUGGCAAUAAACCGCUGAAUCAUUUGAGCUUUGAUUAACAUAUUUUUUUAUGGGAUUCAUUGAAUAACAUAAUUUAUUUCAUUGCAGAUUCAUGAAUCAUGAUUGUC